CAUCUGCAGCCCCUUGCUGUACAAUGUCAUCAUGUCCUAUCACCACUGCUUCUGGCUCACAGUGGGAGUUUACGUUUUAGGCAUCCUUGGAUCUACAAUUCACACCGGCUUUAUGUUGAGACUCUUUUUGUGCAAGACUAAUGUGAUUAACCAUUAUUUUUGUGAUCUCUUCCCUCUCUUGGGGCUCUCCUGCUCCAGCACCUACAUCAAUGAAUUACUGGUUCUGGUCUUGAGUGCAUUUAACAUCCUGACGCCUGCCUUAACCAUCCUUGCUUCUUACAUCUUUAUCAUUGCCAGCAUCCUCCGCAUUCGCUCCACUGAGGGCAGGUCCAAAGCCUUCAGCACUUGCAGCUCCCACAUCUUGGCUGUUGCUGUUUUCUUUGGGUCUGCAGCAUUCAUGUACCUGCAGCCAUCAUCUGUCAGCUCCAUGGACCAGAGGAAAGUGUCCUCUGUGUUUUAUACUACUAUUGUG
rnacentral:lncRNA from 1 species